rnacentral:lncRNA from 1 species
UAGGUUUGAGAGACAAGAUUACUCUCAGUAGUGGCCGUUUUCUUCUUGGUAACAAGUAAGCUUCAUUUAUCCUGUUUUCCUUUUUUAGCUUGACAUUUUUACCUCUUAAGGUCAGGAUUAUUUUACUUCUAUUGCAUUAUAACUGAAGUCAAAUCUCACUGAUGCAAUGCUUUGUCUGGACAUCUUUGUUACCUCUAGCAAUAAUGCUGGUUGUCAACUUGUUCUAUCCGUAGCUUGUUUGAG